UACGUAGGGGGCUAGCGUUGUCCGGAAUCAUUGGGCGUAAAGAGCGUGUAGGCGGUUCGGUAAGUCCGCUGUGAAAGUCCAGGGCUCAACCCUGGAAUGCCGGUGGAUACUGUCGGGCUAGAAUCCGGAAGAGGCGAGUGGAAUUCCUGGUGUAGCGGUGAAAUGCGCAGAUAUCAGGAGGAACACCAAUGGCGAAGGCAGCUCGCUGGGACGGUACUGACGCUGAGACGCGAAAGCGUGGGGAGCAAACAGG
rnacentral:rRNA from 1 species